CCUUCUUUGCUCCCCAUUGGGCGGCUCGGGCGUCAACCCUAACCCUAGCCGACGGGCCUCCUCCACCACCACUCCCUUCUCAACACCCCUUUCUUCGUGGGAAAGCCCACGCGGACACCAAGGACGGCGAUGGCGGGACAUCUUCCAUGGGUUGCUUCUUCUAUCCAUUUGGGCGCGUCUGUUCUCGUCGGGUGUGGAUUCUUGGUGUGUGCUUCGAUAGCUUUCAGGGGCCAUGUUGAGGUGUAGUGGCCGCUUCAUCCAGUCAUUUUAGUGUCAAAGAGAUAGCAUGACAAUGUUUAACCAAUCAAGGAGUGGCAGACCUAACAAUGGGGCGAGCAAGGGUGACCGCCCUGGGUGUUCAGUGGUGGAGCGAUGUAUGACACCUACUCAUCAAGUAGCAGGUGUGAAGCUAUCAAGCAUUGUCGUCAUCCUUGCCCCGACUAACCUCAAUAUAGUCUGCCAUUAUAACCAAAUGCUCUUGUCACUGCGGAUGAGGGGCCACAUGAAGGCUGUUGAGAUGCGCUACUCGUUGUACUUCAGGAGAGCCCGGCUGCUCGGUUUCGUGCUGUAGUUCAAGCUUUUGUCGCCGAAGCUCGUCCACUCAGCUCUCACAACUUUGAUGAACCGGUGGCGGCCCGAGACGCACACUUUUCAUCUCCCAUGUGAUGAGAUGAUGGUGACCCUCGAGGAUUGGGGGAUGAUCAUGGCCCUACCUAUUGAGGGCCAUGCUCUCACUAGGAGACUGGAGAGGAAGAACUGGCGGGGUAGGGUUAUCUCUCUCAUCAGUGACUGUCCCCCCACCUCCCGCUAAGGAUAACCGAACAUCCGGUGUACCGUUGUCCUGGCUUUUAAGGUACCAGAGCAAAUGUCUGGACGAUGCCGAUGGUCGGAUCGCAGAGUGGUACGCGAGGGCCUACGUACGUGUGGUAUCUUCUCACUGAGGUCGUGUUUCCAAACUUCUGAGGAGACCCUGCCCUAUGUAUGUAUCUCGACUUCCUCGGCAAUUGGGAUGCACGGUAAAGCUCGGGAUUUGCCGGCCUCGCGUACCUAUACAAUUCGAUAAGAGAAAUAUCACAUUGUUCUUUUGUAUACGUAUUUAUGAUGCUUUAAAUUGUGUCAUCUUAUCAUCAAUUGGUGUUUGUAGCUAGAUGACGCAACACGGGGGGGCGGAAACAAACGUCCAGUAUAUGUAGAUUUGUCUAGGCCCUCUCCAUUUGGAUGUGGGAGCGAAUCCCGACGGGCCCUCUUGGGAAAAUGGAACGACGUGCAUAGACGUAUUAUGGCGAAGAUGAUGGCGAUACUCGAUAUCGGACCGUCGCGUACGCUUGGGACAAGGUGAAGGUGUACACGAUGAAAGUCAGUGCAUUGUAUAAGGUCUUCACCAACGAGCUUGAUGCUCUAACGGCUUACCAGGUAUACGAACAAGCUUACCAAUCUUUUUGACGCCACUUCCAUGGGAGCUUCCAUUUUUUGUACUUGGUUAAUUGGUGGUCGUAUCAUGAGCGAGAGUGGGGUUUGAGAUGAGCGUGAUGUGCGACUAGGACAAGCUUACUUGGCGGUGCAUUGUACCCAUGAUUUGUGUGUACAUCGUCGAGUGUCACUUGCAAGAGCGUGUGGCCAUGCAAUUAGGUAUGCUCCAACAUACCCCACGAGCCUUGUCCAACGACACCGGUGGCUCCGACCUCCACUGGUGAGUGCAUUGUUCUCUCUUUCCAUGUUUUUGUUUCAUUUGAUGCUCUUAUGAUGUUUUAUUAUUUCUUAUGCCUCGAGGAAGAGCAGGCAGCGUUGUCAGUCGAUCAUAUAUUGGGGACAUGAGCAUCGAGAAUACGUGCGAGAGUGAAACAAGAGGAGGUGCCACAAAGAUGGGGAGAGGAGAGUGCUUGAAUGGGAUGACUAUGCGCAUCACAUGCAGUGGUACGAUGGUGGCGGGAAGCAUCAUAUGCGCCUCAGGCCCCAAUGGACGACAACAAAUGUUGAACCACUGCAUGAGGAUGACUCCGAGGGUGAAGCCUCAUACUUGUGAUCUGCAUUGGGGUUUUCCCCGAAGAGGAGGGGAUGAUGCAACACAAUAUAGAUAAGUAUUUCCAUCAGUGAGAACCAAGGUUAUCGAACAAGUAGGAGGACCACACAAUUUCCCGUCUUCCACGCCUACACACGAAAGAUCACACACUUGUGCCCAACGCAGACAAGAGGGUGGCCAAUCCCCUUGAACUCAUUACUUGCAAGCAAUAAGUAGUGUAGUUGGAUAGUUUGGUAAAUAUAAAUAGAAAAUUAAUAAAAAGUAAGUAAGAACAACAAUGUAUUUGGAGUUUUUGUAAAUAUAUUUUUGAAUAGACUCGGGGC